GGGGCGUUAGCUCAGUCGGUAGAGCAUCUGACUUUUAAUCAGGUGGUCGGGCGUUCGAGCCGCCCACGCCCCACCA
rnacentral:tRNA from 1 species